rnacentral:rRNA from 1 species
CCUGCGCGCUACGUGCGUGAGUGCGAGAGGAGGUCUGGCCAGGCCAGGUCUAUUUGCCUCGCUUUUUUCGCCGCCCUAUUUUUCCUCUCGGCCGGCCGGUCGAGAUCAGAUCCCUGUUUUCUUUCUUCUUUCGGAUAUUUCCGCGUCGCACGUUCCUCGAGCUCCGUGGGUGCGGUGCGAGCGCGAGUUUCGGACCAGCCAUUGUCUCGGUUCCACGGUAAAGAGCUGGAGGGCGAACCAAGACCUCGAGUAGUAGUAGCGGGGAGCCGGAGGAUUCGGAGCGAAGUUGACAGACGAGAGGAGUCAAGCAGAGGACGCUUACGUGCGAGCGAUCGGUAAGAAGACAGAGAUCGCUAGGUCGGUGCUCGACGAAGGCAUAGGAAGUACAAAUGAAGGAAUGACAGAACAGAACAGCUGCGUUUUGGAAGACAGAAGGAGCGAUCUUUCAUCUUUGCCCAACUAAACUAGAGUUCAAGGGCCAAGGGGAACGAGAGAGAAGGCGUACAAGCGAAACUGGAGUUGUAUGCGAAGGGCAACCAGAGCGUGAAAAGCGAUCCGAUUGACCACAUCGUAAACCUCAGAGCCUCUGGAACUUAACCGAGCGGUUCUUGUUCAGGAUACCUUCUUUCGAGGUACUUUUCUCUUCGGUACGGAGCUGAGGACCUAGAGUAGGGCCUGCUCUUUCUUACCUCGGACUCUCCUCCUCGUGGUUCCGUCCCGUCUAGCUUUUUGUGUCCCAAGCCCUCGCUGCUCCUGCUCUUUGACCUCGACUUCGAACCGGAAGGACCGGAGCAUGUUCUUCUCGGUCGCCGGUCGAGUUCUCUCUUCUCCCACGUAGUCCUCUCGGGCCGGGAGAGGGAACCCAUGGGGGGAUUUGUGAGGUGCCGGUGGUGGCCUCGUUUCUCCCCUAAGGACCUGUGCCAACUCCGGUUUCGUGUUCCAAUACUCUUCCUCGUCCGCUCUCGUCGUCGCACACCCUUCCUUGACCGUCACCUCCUUUUAUGUCGCCGGCAGCCACUCUCCUUCUUUCCCACGACAGGGGGUGGUGGUGGUCGUGUACGGGGAGGACGAUGUGGACGCGCGUUGUAGCCGUUGUCUGGCGUCCGCGCCCCUUCUCCCCGACGUCGAGGUCACCAGCCGACCGGAGGUUAGGCCAGUAAGUCCUCUUUGGAACGUUCGUGAUCACGUAGGUUUGUCGGGGGACUUGGCGUUUAGCCACUUCGGCUACGGUUCCGGCACGAACUGACGUUCUUUUCGGGAGAACAUUUUUAGUUGUACCUACCCUAGGGGUAACCUUCCUUUCAACUAGAACGUCGUACACUGUCGAUGCUCUCUGAAAGUAACCGACAGUUUCUAGAGAAGGUGCCCAAAGAAGUUCACGUUUCCCUGGGCAGAUUCCAACUUGCAUGUGUCGUUCCUCGUCUACUUUUUUAUAAAAGCGUCAACGAUCUGCCCAGGCCACUUAUAUGAGAUCAAAUGCUUCUGCCACUUCCUCUGUCCUACGACCAACCCCUACAGGGAACCUUACACAAACAGAGUUGGCGAUUUUCCGACUCCCAAGACUCUUCGAGUCUCGAAAGGGUACCAGACUAACCUCGAUGAGGACUCUCUCGUCGUUUACCGACUUUACCACUGUGGAAAGUUUGGUAAACCUUACAACGAGUGACUUCGGCGUUUGAUUUUCUUGAGGAUUCUUCGUCCCCUCUGGAUUUAGGACACCAGUCAAACCUCUAGCAAUAGGAAAAACUCCUAAUCAUCAAGUCAUGGGAAAAAAAAAGAACAUCACUCUACUUAAUCGUAUGGCGUCUACGUACCUCUAUAGGACGGAUAAAACAUUUAAUCCGAUGGAACAUAAAUUGCGAUAUCAAGAACUAAGUCAAUGUAUCUAAACCGCGGAUAAAAGAGACUGUUUAAACAUUGGACUGUACGUUUAGACAAGUACUGUUUUCUCCUGGUCGUGGACCGGACAGGACUAUCGUAGUGUGGUGGCUUGC